AGAGAGAGAGAGAGAGAGAGAGAGAGAGGAUCGGGAGGGGAGAGGAUUUAUAGGAACAGGUUUCGGUUGAACUGGAUUGACUAGCCGAAUCAUUCCAGUAAUAAGUUGGUCCGGUUUGGUAUGCUCCGAAUUACUCGGUUUGGGAUGGUUCAAUGGUCCUUGGUGGAAAAAUCAAGCUAUAAGAGUAUAACUAAUGCUUGCUGAAGAUGGUUAUUGCUUGCAUAAAAGUACUUGACGCAAUGCAAUGUGAUGCUUUUCGAGAAGAGGGCUGGUAUGAUUUGUUUUGUUGUCCAUCAUGAAAGAUCAACCAAAGAACUUAGUAUGUACAAAGUUUUAAAUCUUUUUAACCUUCUUUAAUUGCGGAAGAAGAGGCAUAAGAGAUGGACUGAUUGAAAAGUUCCUCUGAAAUUCUUAGAUGCUUUUGUAAAUAAUGAUGGAAACAAGAGGGUACCGUGGUCAUAAAAAGUUUGACCUAGUUGUCUUAGUUUAUUGCCUUUAAAAUAAUCCACUAUAGUUGGUAUGGGAUCUUUUAGUGAAACAACAAGAUGAUCAUAGAGAUCUGCUCCAAAUGGAAGGAAUGAUCCCAUUAUAGAUACUAAACCCGCUGU
rnacentral:lncRNA from 1 species